rnacentral:rRNA from 1 species
UACGUAGGGUGCGAGCGUUAAUCGGAAUUACUGGGCGUAAAGCGUGCGCAGGCGGUUCGUCGUGUCCGAUGUGAAAGCCCCGGGCUCAACCUGGGAAUUGCAUUGGAAACUGGCGGACUCGAGUGUGGCAGAGGGGGGUGGAAUUCCGCGUGUAGCAGUGAAAUGCGUAGAGAUGCGGAGGAACACCGAUGGCGAAGGCAGCCCCCUGGGCUAACACUGACGCUCAGGCACGAAAGCGUGGGGAGCAAACAGG